AGCAGUAGCCACGGUAAUACGGAGGGGGCUAGCGUUGUUCGGAAUUACUGGGCGUAAAGCGCACGUAGGCGGCUUGGUAAGUUAGAGGUGAAAGCCUGGAGCUCAACUCCAGAAUUGCCUUUAAGACUGCACCGCUUGAACGUCGGAGAGGUGAGUGGAAUUCCGAGUGUAGAGGUGAAAUUCGUAGAUAUUCGGAAGAACACCAGUGGCGAAGGCGGCUCACUGGACGACUGUUGACGCUGAGGUACGAAAGCGUGGGGAGCAAACAGGAUUAGAUACCCCGGUAGUCCCUGUCUCUUAUAC
rnacentral:rRNA from 1 species